GUGCUCGCUUUGGCAGCACAUAUACUAAAAUUGGAACGAUACAGAUAAGAUUAGCAUGGCCCCUGCACAAGGAUGUCCCGCAAAUUCAUGAAGCGUUCCAUAUUAAA
ensembl:snRNA U6 U6 spliceosomal RNA